UACGUAGGGGGCAAGCGUUGUCCGGAAUCAUUGGGCGUAAAGCGCGCGUAGGCGGCCCGGUAAGUCCGUUGUGAAAGUCAAAGGCUCAACCUUUGAACGCCGAUGGAUACUGCCGGGCUAGGGUCCGGAAGAGGCGAGUGGAAUUCCUGGUGUAGCGGUGAAAUGCGUAGAUAUUGGGAGGAACACCAGUGGCGAAGGCGGCUCACUGGACCGGAACUGACGCUGAGGCGCGAAAGCGUGGGGAGCAAACAGG
rnacentral:rRNA from 1 species